rnacentral:rRNA from 1 species
GGGCCCGCACAAGCGGUGGAGUAUGUGGUUUAAUUCGAAGAUACGCGCAGAACCUUACCAACACUUGACAUGUUCGUCGCGACUUUAAGAGAUUAAAGUUUUCGGUUCGGCCGGACGAAACACAGGUGCUGCAUGGCUGUCGUCAGCUCGUGUCGUGAGAUGUUGGGUUAAGUCCCGCAACGAGCGCAACCCACGUCUUUAGUUGCCAGCAUUUAGUUGGGCACUCUAGAGAGACUGCCGGUGAUAAACCGGAGGAAGGUGUGGAUGACGUCAAGUCAUCAUGCCCCUUACAUCCUGGGCUACACACGUACUACAAUGCUACGGACAAAGGGCUGCAAGUUCGCGAGGACAAGCAAAUCCCAUAAACCGUGGCUCAGUUCAGAUCGUAGGCUGCAACUCGCCUACGUGAAGGCGGAAUCGCUAG